UGCUGAUAGCCAAAAUCUUGUGGCCAUCUCCCCCACGAGGUGCCUCCAGGAUCGUGCGACGGAACGGGCACCGUACGUAGCCCAGGGCCACCAGAACUAGAGGAUCGACCAUAAACGUCAUCGUGUAGCCUUUGGCCAUCAACAACAGAGAAAAAUCGCGCCGUGGUUGAAGCGUUCGGACCACCAUAGUCGCGAUUGAAUUGAUAGAAACAUCACUGUGCCAAGUGACCGUAUCUGCCGCAAAUUUGACAUUGUGUUCGAGGAUGAAACCCGCGACCACUCCACAAAUCUAGGCGAAGCAGGUAACGUGCCCUCUAGAAACCCUUGCAACUCAUAUCCUUCUAUAAUGAGUCGAACAUGAUGUUGCCAUUGAACAAAGUUUCCCUCAUCUAGUUUCACUGUAUCAUGACAAGGAAACGAUUGAACCAGUCUCGCACUGGAAAAAGAUGAACUGGUAGGAUCAACAGUAGUAGAAUCUAUGGAAUAAGCCAUGAAUUGAUUACGGAAGAUUGCACCAGGAACUAGACGACUGAUACCGUGUUAGGUACUACACUAUUACAAGAAUAGAUUUUAGAGAGAAAGAAUUUUUUCUGAGAAAUUAGUAUUAUUAUCUACUUUAAUCAAUACACUAUCAAUGUUUAUAUACUUCAAUAUGAGUAACUGCUCCUAACCAACUAUACCAGACUAAUCAACUGAAUGAUAACAAACUAACAAAUCUUAUGUUAACAAUAUCUAUUCUUCUAACAUUGUCUAUUUAUGCUUUUGAAAUGCUGACUUGUACUACUAUUUCCAACCCUCUUUUCCUUUAUUUUUUUUCAAGCCUUAUACUAUCCCUAAUCAGCCCUUAAAUUUCCCUCCUUGUGCCGCCCAAAGCAGCCCUCGUGUGUGCCAUCCAUGGUAAUGUGUCGCCAUUUUAAACACCACUUUGGAGUUGCUGUUUUUCUCUCUUUAGCCGUAUCUUUCAAGAAAAUAAAAAUUAUUGUUCUACUCGUCUAAUCAAUAUUUAAUUGUGUCUUUUUCAGGUGUAUUCGAUUCCCUUCGUUCAAUGAUUUCGAAAUAGUUAACGGGUAGUGUAAGUGUGGAAGCUAGUGAGAUUUAGUGCCGUAUUAAUUUCGUUUAAAUAUGCUGAUUUGGCCGAUUAUUCUAAGGAGUUAUUAAUUGUUUUACCUACUAAUUUUUGAUAUAAAAUUAUCGUAGGUGCUGAUUGUAACAUCCUAAUUCAACAGUAAGCCAAAACCUAUUCGCACUCUCGCUUGGCAUUAUUUCAGUAUCAACGUGAUUAAUUGUCCUUAGAUGCUUAUUUUUUAAAUUAUCAGAGAUAAUUUGCUCCAUUUUUUUAGAGGAACCAAUUUGCUCUAUAUCAAGAUUGAGAGGCACAUAGAAGUGUUUUUACUAAUAAAAUCAAAACAUGGACAAAAAUCAUAUACCCAUAAAUAAUUUAAAGCAUUCAAGGUUGAUCUUUUAGGAAUUAAGACUAAAUUAACAAUAUAUAUAUUUUAA
rnacentral:lncRNA from 1 species